GUAGGUGGCAAGCGUUGUCCGGAAUUAUUGGGCGUAAAGCGCGCGCAGGCGGUCCUUUAAGUCUGAUGUGAAAGCCCACGGUUCAACCGUGGAGGGUCAUUGGAAACUGGGGGACUUGAGUACAGAAGAGGAAAGCGGAAUUCCAAGUGUAGCGGUGAAAUGCGUAGAGAUUUGGAGGAACACCAGUGGCGAAGGCGGCUUUCUGGUCUGUAACUGACGCUGAGGCGCGAAAGCGUGGGGAGCAAACAGGGAUUAGAUACCCUGGUAGUCCACGCCGUAAACGAUGAGUGCUAAGUGUUAGGGGGUUUCCCGCCCCUUAGUGCUGCAGCUAACGCAUUAAGCACUCGCCUGGGGAUACGGCCGCAAGGCUG
rnacentral:rRNA from 1 species